GUGGGGAAUCUUAGACAAUGGGGGAAACCCUGAUCUAGCCAUGCCGCGUGAGCGAUGAAGGCCUUAGGGUUGUAAAGCUCUUUCAGCUGGGAAGAUAAUGACGGUACCAGCAGAAGAAGCCCCGGCUAACUCCGUGCCAGCAGCCGCUGUAAUACGGAGGGGGCUAGCGUUGUUCGGAAUUACUGGGCGUAAAGCGCACGUAGGCGGAUCAGAAAGUCAGAGGUGAAAUCCCAGGGCUCAACCUUGGAACUGCCUUUGAAACUCCUGGUCUUGAGGUCGAGAGAGGUGAGUGGAAGUCCGAGUGUAGAGGUGAAAUUCGUAGAUAUUCGGAGGAACACCAGUGGCGAAGGCGGCUCACUGGCUCGAUACUGACGCUGAGGUGCGAAAGCGUGGGGAGCGAACAGGAUUAGAUACCCGUGUAGUCC
rnacentral:rRNA from 1 species